GCCGGGCAUGCCCUUGGAACAUUCGGGUAGCGGUCUCAUAAUCCGCAGGUCUGGGGUUCGAGUCCCCACCCCGGUA
rnacentral:tRNA from 1 species